CUUUAAUGGUCUUCCCGCUUUUCCCUCCCCGUCUCCUUCGCCACCGCUUCCUUCCCCAUUUCCCUCCCCUCUUUGCCUCCCACGGUCUUGUCAGACACCGCAAUCAGGAAGCAUGUCGGAUGAGGAUUGAGGAACACCAUUUUGGGUCGAAGGCCGACGCGGGGGCUUCCAAGACGUAUUGGCAUCCGCAAGAACGGUUACAUUGUCAUUAAAGGGCGGCCGUGCAAGGUUGUAGAGGUUUCCACCUCCAAGACUGGAAAACAUGGGCAUGAUAAAUGUCAGUUUGUUGCCAUUGAUAUUUUCAAUGCUGAGUAACUUGAAGAUAUUGUCCUGUCAUCUCAUAACUGUGAUGUAAGUGAAUUUUCAGUUUUUGUGACUGGAUAAUUAUUUUCUAAGACUGUCAGGUUGCUUUCUCAUGUAAUUAAUUGCAGGUUCCCCAUGUCACUCGUACUGACUAUCAACUUAUUGACAUAUCCGAAGAUGGAUUUGUAAAUCUGUUGACUGAGAAUGUUAACACUAAGGAUGACUUAAGACUCCCAACUGAUGAAACUCUGCUUGCUCAGAUUAAAGAUGGUUUGCAGAAGGGAAGGAUCUGGUAGUGACUGUCGUGUCAUCAAUGGGUGCAGAGCAGAAAUGUGCACCGAAGGACAUUG